rnacentral:rRNA from 1 species
CCUACGGGAGGCAGCAGUGAGGAAUAUUGGUCAAUGGGCGCGAGCCUGAACCAGCCAAGUCGCGUGAGGGAAGACGGUCCUAUGGAUUGUAAACCUCUUUUGUCGGGGAGCAAAAGCCGCCACGCGUGGCCUUCCGCGAGUACCCGACGAAAAAGCCUCGGCUAACUCCGUGCCCGCAGCCGCGGUAAUACGGAGGAUGCGGGCGUUAUCCGGAUUUAUUGGGUUUAAAGGGUGCGCAGGCGGAAGAUCAAGUCAGCGGUAAAAUUGAGGGGCUCAACCCCUUCGAGCCGUUGAAACUGGUGGUCUUGAGUGAGCGAGAAGUAUGCGGAAUGCGUGGUGUAGCGGUGAAAUGCAUAGAUAUCACGCAGAACUCCGAUUGCGAAGGCAGCAUACCGGCGCUCAACUGACGCUCAUGCACGAAAGUGUGGGGAUCGAACAGGAUUAGAUACCCGGGUAGUC